rnacentral:rRNA from 1 species
GACAGAGGGGGCAAGCGUUGCUCGGAAUCACUGGGCGUAAAGGGCGCGUAGGCGGGAUGGCAAGUCAGUCGUGAAAUCUCUCGGCUCAACCGAGAAACGUCGGCUGAUACUGCCGUUCUUGAGGGAUGCAGAGGAGACUGGAAUUCCUGGUGUAGCGGUGAAAUGCGCAGAUAUCAGGAGGAACACCGGUGGCGAAGGCGGAUCUCUGGGCCGAUACUGACGCUGAGGAGCGAAAGCGUGGGGAGCGAACAGG